rnacentral:rRNA from 1 species
UAACGAAUCUUCCGCAAUGUACGAAAGUAUGACGGAGCGACGCCGCGUGCGGGACGAAGCCCUUCGGGGUGUAAACCGCUAAAACCAUCAGGAAAGUUCUGAUCCGGUGGCUACAAGGAGCGACUAACUCUGUGCCAGCAGUCGCGGUAAUACAGAGGCUCCAAGCGUUAGGCGGAAUCACUGGGCUUAAAGCGUGCGUAGGCGGCCUUCCAAGUGCCUUGUGAAAGCCCACGGCUCAACCGUGGAACUGCUUGGCAUACUGGGAGGCUUGAAUCACCUAGGGGCGACCGGAACUGACGGUGGAGCGGUGAAAUGCGUAGAUAUCGUCAGGAACGCCGAGGGCGAAAGCAGGUCGCUGGGGGUGAAUUGACGCUGAGGCACGAAAGCUAGGGUAGCGAACGGGAUUAGAUACCCCUGUAGUCC